rnacentral:lncRNA from 1 species
AAGGGCCUCUCCUGAGCUGUGUCCGGGUGCAGGGCUGACCUCGAGCAACCUGAAGCUUCCCAGGGAGCCCCACUAUGAGAACUGUAGCUGGUGAGAGCAAGAGACCUAGAAACACUGCAGGUUUGCUGUGCGUUUUGAACACUAGGGAGGUACAAAGUCGAAGAGACGCAAAGUCAAAAAGCUCCUGGAGGUUUGCAGACUGCUCUUGGAUGGUGAAAGUCACAUUAAAACUGGUGCUGCUGGUGUGCUUUCUCCAAAGAGCAGCGUGCUUCCACAAGGUGAGCAGCUGUCCUACUUUGCUGCGCUUUGCAUUUUCACCCCUGCUGCCUGCACAUGGGCUGACCUUUCCCUUCCCUGGCACACA